ensembl:lncRNA
GUCUGUUAUUAGCUAUUGUUAAGACUGUCUGUUAUUAGUUAUUGUUAAGACGGUCUGUUAUUAGUUAUUGUUAAGACGGUCUGUUAUUAGUUAUUGUUAAGACGGUCUGUUAUUAGUUAUUGUUAAGACGGUCUGUUAUUAGUUAUUGUUAAGGCGGUCUGUUAUUAGUUAUUGUUAAGGCUGGCUUCUCAGAUACUUUUAUCUCUUAUCUUUUUAAAACACACAGAGGAUGUAGAAAAACAUUGUCACUAAACUGUAUUGUACAUACAAACACAGGCAGAAUACACAAACACAGGCAGAAUACACAAGCACAGGCAGAAUACACAGGCAGAAUACACAGGCAGAAUACACAAACACAGGCAGAAUACACAGGCAGAAUACACAAACACAGGCAGAAUACACAGGCAGAAUACACAAGCACAGGCAGAAUACACAAGCACAGGCAGAAUACACAAGCACAGGCAGAAUACACAAACACAGGCAGAAUACACAAACACAGGCAGAAUACACAAACACA